rnacentral:rRNA from 1 species
UACGAAGGGGGCUAGCGUUGCUCGGAAUCACUGGGCGUAAAGCGCGCGUAGGCGGAUUGCUAAGUCAGGGGUGAAAUCCUGGAGCUCAACUCCAGAACUGCCUUUGAUACUGAAGAUCUUGAGUUCGGGAGAGGUGAGUGGAACUGCGAGUGUAGAGGUGAAAUUCGUAGAUAUUCGCAAGAACACCAGUGGCGAAGGCGGCUCACUGGCCCGAUACUGACGCUGAGGCACGAAAGCGUGGGGAGCAAACAGG